UACAGAGGUCUCAAGCGUUGUUCGGAUUCAUUGGGCGUAAAGGGCGCGUAGGCGGCGCGGUAAGUCGGGUGUGAAAUCUCGGAGCUUAACUCCGAAACUGCAUUCGAUACUGCCGUGCUUGAGGACUGGAGAGGAGACUGGAAUUUACGGUGUAGCGGUGAAAUGCGUAGAUAUCGUAAGGAAGACCAGUGGCGAAGGCGGGUCUCUGGACAGUUCCUGACGCUGAGGCACGAAGGCCAGGGGAGCAAACGGG
rnacentral:rRNA from 1 species